GACGAACGCUGGCGGCGUGCCUAAUACAUGCAAGUGGGACGCAAGGGAACACACUGUGCUUGCACACCGUGUUUUCUUGAGUCGCGAACGGGUGAGUAACGCGUAGGUAACCUGCCUAUUAGCGGGGGAUAACUAUUGGAAGCGAUAGCUAAUACCGCAUAAUAUUAAUUAUUGCAUGAUAAUUGAUUGAAAGAUGCAAGCGCAUCACUAGUAGAUGGACCUGCGUUGUAUUAGCUAGUUGGUAAGGUAAGAGCUUACCAAGGCGACGAUACAUAGCCGACCUGAGAGGGUGAUCGGCCACACUGGGACUGAGACACGGCCCAGACUCCUACGGGAGGCAGCAGUAGGGAAUCUUCGGCAAUGGGGGGAACCCUGACCGAGCAACGCCGCGUGAGUGAAGAAGGUUUUCGGAUCGUAAAGCUCUGUUGUAAGUCAAGAACGUGUGUGAGAGUGGAAAGUUCACACAG
rnacentral:rRNA from 1 species